AUGGCCGUACCAUGCUGAAUAUACCGGUUCUCGUUAGAUCACCGAAGUUAAGCAUCAUUGGGCGCGGUCAGUAUUUGGGUGGGUGACCACCUGGAAACACUGCGUGCCGUU
rnacentral:rRNA from 1 species